UGCAAGUCGAACGCUUCUUUUUCCACCGGAGCUUGCUCCACCGGAAAAAGAAGAGUGGCGAACGGGUGAGUAACACGUGGGUAACCUGCCCAUCAGAAGGGGAUAACACUUGGAAACAGGUGCUAAUACCGUAUAACAAUCAAAACCGCAUGGUUUUGAUUUGAAAGGCGCUUUCGGGUGUCGCUGAUGGAUGGACCCGCGGUGCAUUAGCUAGUUGGUGAGGUAACGGCUCACCAAGGCCACGAUGCAUAGCCGACCUGAGAGGGUGAUCGGCCACAUUGGGACUGAGACACGGCCCAAACUCCUACGGGAGGCAGCAGUAGGGAAUCUUCGGCAAUGGACGAAAGUCUGACCGAGCAACGCCGCGUGAGUGAAGAAGGUUUUCGGAUCGUAAAACUCUGUUGUUAGAGAAGAACAAGGAUGAGAGUAACUGUUCAUCCCUUGACGGUAUCUAACCAGAAAGCCACGGCUAACUACGUGCCAGCAGCCGCGGUAAUACGUAGGUGGCAAGCGUUGUCCGGAUUUAUUGGGCGUAAAGCGAGCGCAGGCGGUUUCUUAAGUCUGAUGUGAAAGCCCCCGGCUCAACCGGGGAGGGUCAUUGGAAACUGGGAGACUUGAGUGCAGAAGAGGAGAGUGGAAUUCCAUGUGUAGCGGUGAAAUGCGUAGAUAUAUGGAGGAACACCAGUGGCGAAGGCGGCUCUCUGGUCUGUAACUGACGCUGAGGCUCGAAAGCGUGGGGAGCAAACAGGAUUAGAUACCCUGGUAGUCCACGCCGUAAACGAUGAGUGCUAAGUGUUGGAGGGUUUCCGCCCUUCAGUGCUGCAGCUAACGCAUUAAGCACUCCGCCUGGGGAGUACGACCGCAAGGUUGAAACUCAAAGGAAUUGACGGGGGCCCGCACAAGCGGUGGAGCAUGUGGUUUAAUUCGAAGCAACGCGAAGAACCUUACCAGGUCUUGACAUCCUUUGACCACUCUAGAGAUAGAGCUUCC
rnacentral:rRNA from 1 species